CGCGAUCACGACUCGCGUAAUUUCCGAGGAGGUCGUCGGGCUAGGAUGUUUCUCGAGUUCCGGCGCCACGCCUCGGAGUCAACGUUCCCGUGGAAAAGGCGAGGAAGGAAGGGGCAAAACCCGGUGGCCGAAGGUCCAACGCGAACGAGCGACUUUAGAAAAGACGGGGACAGAGCUGAAACUCGAGGUGGCGCUUGUAGCGCGACGAUAUCCUUCAAAAGCGACUCGACUUAUAUUAUAGAAGUAAGCCAAAGAAGUAGCGCGCUAUAGCGAAAGAAAGGAAGAGAUGAACGAGGAUGGCACAACUCCCUCGCUUCUGCGGCUGGUGCAAUCGAGUUAUUUCGCAUUGAGUAACGUCUGACGUAACUACAGAGCUGGAGAACGUGGAACCGGUUCUUCCGAAUUUUGUCAAAAUCACAACGAUGUAAAAAGUCGAAGAUGAAACGAUACGACAGACCUAUCUUUGGCUUUCUGUCCGAUUAUCGUACGUAAGAGACUCUAGACGAUCAACGUACAAUACGCGUUGUUUAGCUGGAAACGCUCAAGUAUCUGGUAAAAUACGAACGAUACGGACAAAUUUUUCGGAUAGAUAGUCGUAUGGUAUUUAUUAUCUGUUUGACCUGGCGAUGACCCUGACCUUCGUCCUAGGCGAAAGGUAAAGGCGACUAUUGUUGAGAUUUUUAUACGGAUAUCACCAUUUCUGAACGUUAUCAAAACAAACAACAAACUCUUAUCUUGCGCGUGCCGCCUGCAUUAAUGUGACCCGAUCUACACCACGGGGACGCGUGAACGUGUUUCUCAUAGCGGUGCUAUUAUUGAUUGCUAUGGUAUCGGCGAAAUGCAAGCUUUCCAACAUUCCCAAAACAGUCAUUCUCUAUUCGUUCUUCCAAGCACAGAGAUCCUACUCUCGUGCGUGAUUUUACGCGUACGCGUACAUACAUCUUUCGUUGGUUUUUCUUUUUGGAGGGAAAGCAAGUUAUAAGUAUAUAACGUCCAUAUUUUUCAAGAAGGACAGUUGCACAGUUUGCAAUUUACAUUGUCGUUAGUAAAAUACGUAAUACCCUUGACGCUUAUCGUGCAUCCAACUUUACGCGAUAGCGUUAAUCGGGCCGGGGGUUCUUUCGUAGGUAAGAGAGGCACACUCGGGCCCAAGUAUCUUGCAUCUCUUUUCUCUUUCAUCUAAGCCUGCGAGGUAUACAUAAUACUAAUAUAGAUAUCGUUAUUCGAGUUCGUAACCUACCCAAUCCUAUUUCACGCUUCGUUCGUUGUGUACUUUAAUUGCGUAUUUCGUUGAUCACGCGGCCGCUAACGACCGUAAGAAAUAGUUGACGCGACCUUGAAUAAAAAAUAAAGAAGCAACAAAAAGGAAAACAUCGAUCGUUCGUUUAGAUUUCGUGGAUCGGACGUCUGCGUUGCACAGGAAUGCUAACGGCCGCGUGUACGCACACCUUUUCCGGGACAGCGCGAAGCGGUAAGCCCUUUGGGAAUAAUUCUUCCGCGUACACGAGGCCGUGGAAAACAAAACCCGAUCACGUAGGUGCGCGCAUGGGCGUGAGUAUGCUCGCGACAACGUGUCCCGUUUUUGAAAUCGCCCCUACGUGAUCGAGGUAGAUCCGCUUGAAUUUCUCAGGAGGCAAGCGAUUAGCAAUCGGCCGUACGGAGACUCUGCCAAAGAUUACCAACGAGUUACGGCCCGAUAUUCUUGUCUGUUUUUUAAAUUUUACGUUGGAUUCGGUCACCAACCGAAUGCUAAUUUGCCCCAACUUACAUAACCAACACACGCGUAGCUGCGAAAGCUAAUCAAAUUUCAUGGUUCUACGCUCGUUCUUCUCCUCCUCCUCCUCCUCCUCCUCCUCCUCCUCCAUCUCCUCCUCCAUCUCCUGUUAUUCUUAUCGAAAGAAUAUACGAUGAGUCAGAGCUUGGAACAUGAAAUGAAAAGUCGUUCGAUCGAUUUAGUUGACUCCGUUCGACGUGUACUUCCAAAUAUCGUUAAAAUAUCCGUGAACGGCCAUUCGAGUCCUUUUCGUUGUGCGUAAACACGGUGUUUGCAGUUAAACGAGAGAGAGGACGAGAGAGGGCAGCACGCAUCCAAUGUUUGCAACGUUCAGUCGAUUCGAACGUUCGGAUGCGUUUAAGGACUGCGAGCUUCGUACAGUUCGACUUUCGAAGGUAUACGUACAUAACUCUGUGUAUUUAUAUAUGCAUUUAUGUCAGAGAAUUUGAACACGGACGCGUAUAAGCGAGCAAAGUAGCAAGGAGCGCACGAACGAGCGAUCCCCGGCUUGGAAUCGCUUGCGCAACGGCUUGAGCUCAUACCGGGUACGAGCGGAUGAACUUUUCCGUAUUGGGAAUGCUUAUGAAAUAAUCUACGAGGAGGAUCGGCCGCUUAAAGGUUCGUUCGCGUCUUUCACCAGCUUACAGGACUCGUAAGAAAAAGAGAAAGGAUGAAAUACUAAUACUGGUUACGUUCCUUCCGAGGAUACGCCUUUCGUUUCGUUAUCAUUGGGAAGAAUUUGGAACGUGUUGAAAUUCGACAACUUUACGACACGGAAGUGACAAGAUGGCGCGUAGGAUUUGAAAAAUUGUUGGCGGGUAAAUAUUCUCGGUGGAGUCGAAGUGGUUGCGGAAUAGGUUAUGUGCGUGGCGCGCGAGCUAAGCCAAUCGAGUUGCGCAAAAGAUAUGGUACAAGUGGAUGAGAGGAAGACGGUACCGACAGCUAUCGGGACGAAGAGGAUCGCCAGAAGAAAUUCUCAGUGGCGUAACGUCGACCUCUCGUCUGUUCUCUCUACUCCCUCCUGUUCGAGACCGUUUUCCCUUUAUACCGUCGAUGCCGGGGUCCCGAUAUCGCUGCUCCAUCGCGAUGCGCUCGUGUGCCGUCGCCUUGGUCGUCGCUAACCGUUGCCGCCGUGCCGCCGUGCCGCUGUGCCACCGCGAGGAAACGAGACGAGCGGUUAGAAAAGAAAGGAGGGACCGGGACAGGAUGAGAAAGGCGAGGAGAAGAGUUCUCCGAGAGUUCAUCGCUUAUUAUGUAAGCAACCUCGGAACGUAAGUGCACGGGGAUUGCUUGGAUACACGGAUACACGGAUACACGGAUACACGGAUCUACGCUGCGGUCUGCAUCCGUGUUCUGUUUCCUCGUACGAAGCGCAUCUUCUUUUCUGACUCGACGAAGAAAUAGGAGAAGAGGAAAAAAGGAGCGUGGCUUGGUGGUAGUGGAAGGAUCGUUUUUCGUUUCUUCUGGACAAAGUCGACCACCAUAGAAAGGGGAAAAGCCACGAAGACAAAGUUUCUCGCGUGCUUGGCGAACCCGCUGUCACGGACCGCUACCCUCUGGGAGUCAGACAACCGUCCGGAAUAACCGAAGCUGUCCGGACGACCGUCGCAUCGAAAAUCCUCGCGAAACUGAUGGAUCGUGGAAACUGAUGGAAAUGGCUAGCCCUUGGAACGCGGCGAUAUUAAUUUUUCCAAUAAGAAACAGAUAUGGCUUCCAACGUGCAUCGGCCGGCUUACCUAGACGACCCCUUUAGAGGGUGUGACCCUGCUGAUCGAAAUCGUUGGUUCGUUGAACGUUCGGAUCAAACAAAUGGAUCGAUGCAAGGAUCGUAGGAACAUGGAAGAGUAACGUUUCACGGCAUAAGGACGUUCGGAGGAGUUCAAUGUUGGCCGAAUAUUUGACGCGACGAUCGAACGCGACAACGACGCAAUUGCGGGAAAAAAGAAAAAAGAAAAAAGGAAAAAAAGAAUUACGGACCUAUGUUACGGAUUAAAGGCUCGGUGAGCUCUUCCGGAUCGUUUAAAGACGGACGAUCGAGGUUCUUCGUUUCAUCGGCUCGUGGCAGUUGAACAAAUUUUCACGGCCCCGUGAUUCCGUUACGCGAUCCCAUAUGGGAAUAGCCCGCGGUUUUAAGAAGCCGUGGCGUGGACGACAGGAAAGACAGACGAGGAGAGAAAAGUUUAGUAAUGCACGUUGGUGUUGGCGCAAUCGAGGAAUUCCUCCUGUGAGUCGAAGGAAGGAAAUUGCGUUGCCCAAUUAGAAAUCGCGGGAGACCGCAGAAAGAAAGGCCAAGAGAGAGCGAGCGAUCUACGUGGAAGAAGGAGAGAGCAAAGCUGCGGAGGGGGAGAGCGAGAGACAGAGGAAGGGAAAAAGGUUUCGAAACAUCGUACAUACAUACUAAGUUGCCACGUUUGUACGAUUAUCUAAUUCCGUGUACCUUUUGCUUGUUUAAAUGCACGCGCACGCGCCUACCCAUUUUCUCAAUUUCAUCGCCUAUACCGAUUCGCUCGGGUAGCGCGACUUGUAUCUUUUAUUCGAAUCUUGGAUCGAUCGCCGCUGUCGGCCAGAUUAAUAUCGACGCGAUAAAAAUUAAUCGCCGCAGUUUCUCUCUCAGUUUACGUUCAGCCGAUCGUCAUAUCGCGUAAUUCCGCCAUCUAGAUUUCGUUUCGGUGUCUCGAAUUUUCACCUAGACGAAUUUAUCGUUAUCCUCAGCUAUUCUCCCACCCUCUCUCUCUCAAUUAUAUGUUAUUUGUACGCAAUUCAACUUUUACGGAACUUAGUCCUACUAAGGUCGAGAUGUUCGUGUUCAGAGUUGAAAGAGUGUUUCAAACGAAUCUUGUUCCGUUUCGAGUCGUCAAACUUUCCGUCUUUUACGACGAUCAUCGCGUUCGUCUAGGCAAAGUUUUUUUUAAAUAAACCUGUACGUUCUUCUGUACGCUGUUCGAUGCAGCUUUUAACUCUCCUACUUGUAUCUGAAAACGCUCGGUUCAAUUGAUAUUUCAAUGUUAAUUUCAUCGAAUCGUCAAGCGUACGAAAGAAAAGGAAAAUAUAAACAUGAAAACACUGUCUUAUCUCUCCUUGUCUUUCACGCGAUAAGCCUUACAAGAUUAGAGUUAAAAUAUCUUUUAAAUUAAUCGUCUUUCGAUUCAAGUGCCUGAACACCUUUUCCUUGACAAUUGAAAAAUGCAUCGAAAAGAAAUUGAUACAGAGAGUAUGGAAAGGGCCCCCCCUCCCAUGUACGAUGCCAAUAAAUUAAUAGAUUUACAAUAAAUUAAAAAAAAAAAAAAGUUUGUUUGAAAUAUUUACGUACAACGGUAUAGGCAGAAGAAAUUUGUCAACAAUAUAAAACAACUAACGCUGUCUUUGUAUAAUAUAGAGUAACACGUGAAGACACUCUUAACGUUUCAAGGAUGAGAAUAUCGAUUAUUAAUCCCGUGAGAUACGAAGAAACAAUGAUAUAUCCUUAUCGCGUAUUAUAUACCUAGCGUUAUCGCGUUCUUAAAAAGAAAGAAAUUUCUCUUGCGCGAAUGUAAUUUUUCAUCGGACGAACAAAAGUUUGACGAACAUUGUCUAAUCUUUAAGCGAUAUCCGUACGUUACCUCUACGUAUUAAAAUAGCAAGUGAUUAUGAACGACGUUCUAUCGGAUAUCGGAACGUAGAUGUUCCGUGUGUAUAUGUAUAAUUAUAAAAACUUUGAAAUCCGUAACAGUCGAAGGAGAAUGUCCGCUUCGUUUGCCUGAUCGACAGAGAAAGUUCAAUAUCUUUAUCCAAAAUAUCGUUCGACCAAAACACUAUCGUAUAUCCGACUAUUGCAUAUCUAGUAGCUGAUAUCGCUCAACGUUUGCGACAAAGAUGUUGGUGGUAUCUUGCGGGACGGCAUACCGACGUACGUUAACGUUUACUGAUCGUAAACGAUCUAUUUAUGGGUCAAAAUAAUUUGAUAAAAAGAAAUGUUACGCGAUCGCGACGCGAGCGCAUCUUCCAAGGACUGUGUCUAGUUGAGAGAUUCGAGGCUUUCACAGGCGAUCACCGAUCGUCCUACGUGCUUGACAGCUGUUGGGGACUGUCGGCUAGAAGCUGAGUCCAGCAGGAAUUUCUGUCCGACGUUUCGCCGGCGUUACAGCUAUCUUGUUCGGGGUCUAAAAACCCAGGUACGUACACGGUGAACACCGAUCGGCAUUAAGCGCAUAUCUAAUUAAACGACGAGGUCGUAGACACCGUAACAACGAUCGUUGGACGUAAAAUCUGUUACUUUUUCGAUUCCACCGUGCUGCGGGCCCAGCUUACGAGCGUUAUUGUCUAAAAAAUGUACAAGUUUGAGUGGAUUAAGCGGGCAUUAAUUCCGCGAGUAUGAUGCACUCGAAUGGUAAAUGUUCUUACUCCACAAACAGGAGAACGGAUGAUGGAAACUAGUCUCUGGGAUUCACCAAGUUCCUCCUCUAAUCCACGGCUCUCCAUCUCCUUCUACUCGUACAGCCGCUCUUCCACCUUCUCCUUCUGUGUUCUUAAGCGAUUACGCCACGGCGUCUCUCACCUCCGUCUAAUCCUGUAUUAUAAUGUACGGCGUGCGCGCACACACACACACACACACACACACACACACACACUCGCGCUCGCGCGCGCGAAAACACAAAGAUUGGAAACGAGGCGACUAAAGUCGAACAAAACGGAAUCGAAAAAAUCAAAGUUGAAGGAGAAGUGGAAGUGAAACGAAACUGUAAGUGGGAAGACGGAAGAAAUGGAGAAAAAGAAAGAUUAGGAAAAUGGGAAGGUAGAGUGACCGAUCGAGGGAAGAAAGAAGAGAAGAGCAGUGAAAACAAAGGGAAAGGGAUGUGCGGAGGAAAGAGGCGAUGAACGAGGAUAAUAAUUGACAUAAAUAAAGUAGGAAGCGCGCAGAGCAAAAUGAGACGGAGAGGAGGAGGAAAGGAGAGACAGAAGAAGAAGAAGAGAAGGGACCUUUGGACGAUGGAGGGGAUCGACGUCGUUUCAGUCGUCCUCCCGGAUGUGCAGCAUCAUUACACGGCAUUCUUCGAGGCUGCAAGAUCUCCCUUUCUUUCUUCCUUCGGCCGAUGCGUUGACGUAACCGCGACAAAGCAAAUUCCUCUUCCCAAGACGCGAAACGCUCAGAAUUCUGAUCGGUCUGGUUUCAACUGUGUACUUUGAACGGCUGUUGUAACGAAGGGUAUUUUCAAAACCGACGAUUCCUUCAUGCACGUGACUUUGUACGUUUCCAAGCGAGCCUCCGAGUCUGUAAAACCAAGCGACUUUGAGUCUGUAAAAAAUAACUUGAAAGAUCGUUUGAACGUUGUUACGCGAUGUAUCGUGUAUCUGUUCGAAAGCUAGAACAAAUUUCAUCUUUAGCUCGAUCGAGUCCGAGGCCUAAGUAAGUCGAAUCGACGAUAGCCCAAGUCAGUUUCUUUGACAUUUUGAUUUUGAUUUUCGUUGCAAUUCGCUUUCCCUGCCAAUAGCUCCAAUUUUCUGCCACGUACACGUACGACCCUCUCGCCAAUCUGCCUCCUAAUACACUAUUUAUAUUCUCCUUCCAUUUGUCAUUUCCUCUCUCUCUCUCUCUCUCUCUCUCUCUCUCUCUCUCUGUCUCCCUCGAAAGUUUUAUCUUUCCCCGGUAUUUUAUAUCGCAAGACGAAUACGACACGUGUGAUUUUACCAAAUAUCGUAGUAGAAAUAUCAAGUUGUAAAUGAUUUUUUUUUUUUUUUUAAUGCGACGCACAGAGUUAAAGACGAUGUUAUUGGGUGAGCCGGAUUUUCCGGCAGUUGUCAGGCAACGAAAAAGGUUUCCGAGGAGGCGUAACAUUAAUCAUGGCACAGGUAUGUGCGAGCGAGGACUCGGGGUCAAAAUCUUUUUUCCUUCUGAAAGAACGAUGAUCCACAAUGGAACUCCUCGGAAUCCUGCUUGCUUGCGCUUACAUCUGAUCGAUCGAAGAAAGGAUCGUCCUGAAAAGUUACCGGCUCCUUUCUACUACCCACCUCGGGGACCUAUUAAAUCUUGGACUCGAAUUCCGAAGGAUCUUGUUCUAAAAGAACCACCGACACGAUAUUUUUCGAGAGAAAUGUUUGUGAAUAGCCGGGCCUCGAAUCCGCGCCGCUUAAACUUGUGUCAAAAUUUUUUUCAAUUUCCUAUUUUAGCCGCUGACACUAUGAAAACAGCGCUUUUUUCUUCUUCGUUCUUCCUUCAACACUUGCCUCUACCGACGACCGCGUAUGAUAUUUCCAAAAAUAUGGUCGACUCCUGCGCCUCGAAUUCACCUUGCGCUACGUUUAAAACAUUGUGAAUGCAUCAUUGGCAAACUCGUCUUUCUUGCGACAAAUCAAAUGUCACGCAAUAUGGAAUUUCUUAAAUAUAGUUUGCGAUUCGACGAUGAGUCGACCGAUUUAAUUGAUUAAUAAGUUUCAUGUUUCCGUCUUUUCUUUCUCUCUCUCUCUCUCUCUCUCUCUCUCUCUCACACACACACACACACAC